rnacentral:sRNA from 1 species
UUCAGCAUUUAACUCAGAUGCUGAACGUGAAGGAUAACGUUGCGUCAGCAACGGCCCGAAGGGCGAGGCGAAGUCGAGUCAUCCUGCACGACCCACCA